rnacentral:rRNA from 1 species
AAAAGGUGGCUAUGCUACCGCUUUUGGAUGGGCCCGCGGCGCAUUAGCUAGUUGGUGGGGUAAAGGCUUACCAAGGCAAUGAUGCGUAGCCGAACUGAGAGGUUGAUCGGCCACAUUGGGACUGAGACACGGCCCAAACUCCUACGGGAGGCAGCAGUAGGGAAUCUUCCACAAUGGGCGAAAGCCUGAUGGAGCAACGCCGCGUGGGUGAAGAAGGUCUUCGGAUCGUAAAACCCUGUUGUUAGAGAAGAAAGUGCGUGAGAGUAACUGUUCACGUUUCGACGGUAUCUAACCAGAAAGCCACGGCUAACUACGCGCCAGCAGCCGCGGUAAUACGUAGGUGGCAAGCGUUAUCCGGAUUUAUUGGGCGUAAAGGGAACGCAGGCGGUCUUUUAAGUCUGAUGUGAAAGCCUUCGGCUUAACCGGAGUAGUGCAUUGGAAACUGGGAGACUUGAGUGCAGAAGAGGAGAGUGGAACUCCAUGUGUAGCGGUGAAAUGCGUAGAUAUAUGGAAGAACACCAGUGGCGAAAGCGGCUCUCUGGUCUGUAACUGACGCUGAGGUUCGAAAGCGUGGGUAGCAAACAGGAUUAGAUACCCUGGUAGUCCACGCCGUAAACGAUGAAUGCUAAGUGUUGGAGGGUUUCCGCCCUUCA